rnacentral:rRNA from 1 species
GUUGUAUGGUUAAGUGACUAAGCGUACACGGUGGAUGCCUUGGCAGUCAGAGGCGAUGAAAGACGUAGUAACUUGCGAUAAGCCCAGAUUAGGUAGUAACAACCAUUUGAGUCUGGGAUUUCUGAAUGGGGAAACCCACUUACAUAAGUAAGUAUCAUUAACUGAAUACAUAGGUUAAUGAGGCGAACCGGGGGAACUGAAACAUCUAAGUACCCCGAGGAAAAGAAAUCAACCGAGAUUCCGAAAGUAGCGGCGAGCGAAAUUGGACUAGCCCUUAAGCUUUACACGCGUUAGACGAACGGUCUGGAAAGUCCGACGAUACAGGGUGAUAGUCCCGUAGUUGACGACGUGUGUUCAGUGAAAUCGAGUAGGGCGGGACACGUGAUAUCCUGUCUGAAUAUGGGGGGACCAUCCUCCAAGGCUAAAUACUACUGACUGACCGAUAGUGAACCAGUACCGUGAGGGAAAGGCGAAAAGAACCCCUGUGAGGGGAGUGAAAUAGAACCUGAAACCGUGUACGUACAAGCAGUAGGAGCAGGCUUUGUCCUGUGACUGCGUACCUUUUGUAUAAUGGGUCAGCGACUUAUAUUCAGUGGCAAGGUUAACCAUCUAGGGGAGCCGUAGGGAAACCGAGUCUUAACUGGGCGUUCAGUCUCUGGAUAUAGACCCGAAACCAGGUGAUCUAGCCAUGGGCAGGUUGAAGGUUGAGUAACAUCAACUGGAGGACCGAACCGACUAAUGUUGAAAAAUUAGCGGAUGACUUGUGGCUAGGGGUGAAAGGCCAAUCAAACCUGGAGAUAGCUGGUUCUCCCCGAAAGCUAUUUAGGUAGCGCCUCGGACGAAUACUACUGGGGGUAGAGCACUGUUAAGGCUAGGGGGUCAUCCCGACUUACCAACCCUUUGCAAACUCCGAAUACCAGUAAGUACUAUCCGGGAGACACACGGCGGGUGCUAACGUCCGUCGUGGAGAGGGAAACAACCCAGACCGCCAGCUAAGGUCCCAAAUUACUACUAAGUGGGAAACGAUGUGGGAAGGCUCAGACAGCCAGGAUGUUGGCUUAGAAGCAGCCAUCAUUUAAAGAAAGCGUAAUAGCUCACUGGUCGAGUCGGCCUGCGCGGAAGAUGUAACGGGGCUAAGUAGUAAACCGAAGCUGCGGCAAUGUGCUUUUGCACAUUGGGUAGGGGAGCGUUCUGUAAGCGGUUGAAGGUGUGUGGUAACGCAUGCUGGACGUAUCAGAAGUGCGAAUGCUGACAUGAGUAACGAUAAAGGGGGUGAAAAACCUCCUCGCCGGAAGACCAAGGGUUCCUGUCCAACGUUAAUCGGGGCAGGGUAAGUCGACCCCUAAGGCGAGGCCGAAAGGCGUAGUCGAUGGGAAACGGGUUAAUAUUCCCGUACUUCUUACAAUUGCGAUGGGGGACGGAGAAGGCUAGGUGGGCCUGGCGACGGUUGUCCAGGUUCAAGUGCGUAGGCUUAAGAGUUAGGUAAAUCCGGCUCUUUUUAAGGCUGAGACACGACGUCGAGCACCUACGGGUGUGAAGUCAUUGAUGCCAUGCUUCCAGGAAAAGCCUCUAAGCUUCAGAUUGUAAGGAAUCGUACCCCAAACCGACACAGGUGGUCGGGUAGAGAAUACCAAGGCGCUUGAGAGAACUCGGGUGAAGGAACUAGGCAAAAUGGUACCGUAACUUCGGGAGAAGGUACGCUCUCGACGGUGAAGUCCCUCGCGGAUGGAGCUAUUGAGAGUCGCAGAUACCAGGUGGCUGCAACUGUUUAUUAAAAACACAGCACUGUGCAAAAUCGUAAGAUGACGUAUACGGUGUGACGCCUGCCCGGUGCCGGAAGGUUAAUUGAUGGGGUUAGACUUCGGUCGAAGCUCUUGAUCGAAGCCCCGGUAAACGGCGGCCGUAACUAUAACGGUCCUAAGGUAGCGAAAUUCCUUGUCGGGUAAGUUCCGACCUGCACGAAUGGCGUAAUGAUGGCCACGCUGUCUCCACCCGAGACUCAGUGAAAUUGAAAUCGCUGUGAAGAUGCAGUGUACCCGCGGCUAGACGGAAAGACCCCGUGAACCUUUACUACAGCUUGGCACUGAACAUUGACCCUACAUGUGUAGGAUAGGUGGGAGGCUUUGAAGCACGUACGCCAGUAUGUGUGGAGCCGUCCUUGAAAUACCACCCUUGUAGUGUUGAUGUUCUAACGUCGACCCCUUAUCGGGGUUGCGGACAGUGCCUGGUGGGUAGUUUGACUGGGGCGGUCUCCUCCCAAAGAGUAACGGAGGAGCACGAAGGUGGGCUAAUCACGGUUGGACAUCGUGAGGUUAGUGCAAUGGCAUAAGCCCGCUUGACUGCGAGAAUGACAAUUCGAGCAGGUGCGAAAGCAGGUCAUAGUGAUCCGGUGGUUCUGAAUGGAAGGGCCAUCGCUCAACGGAUAAAAGGUACUCCGGGGAUAACAGGCUGAUACCGCCCAAGAGUUCAUAUCGACGGCGGUGUUUGGCACCUCGAUGUCGGCUCAUCACAUCCUGGGGCUGAAGUCGGUCCCAAGGGUAUGGCUGUUCGCCAUUUAAAGUGGUACGCGAGCUGGGUUUAGAACGUCGUGAGACAGUUCGGUCCCUAUCUGCCGUGGGCGUUGGAAGAUUGAAGGGGGCUGCUCCUAGUACGAGAGGACCGGAGUGGACGAACCUCUGGUGUUCGGGUUGUGUCGCCAGACGCAUUGCCCGGUAGCUAAGUUCGGAAUCGAUAACCGCUGAAAGCAUCUAAGCGGGAAGCGAGCCCUGAGAUGAGUCUUCCCUGAUACUUUAAGUAUCCUAAAGGGUUGUCGGAGACUACGACGUUGAUAGGUCAGGUGUGUAAGUGCUGUGAGGCAUUGAGCUAACUGAUACUAAUUGCCCGUGAGGCUUAACCAUACAACACCCAAGGGGUUU